rnacentral:rRNA from 1 species
UACGGAGGGCGCGAGCGUUACCCGGAUUUACUGGGCGUAAAGGGCGUGUAGGCGGCCUGGGGCGUCCCAUGUGAAAGGCCACGGCUCAACCGUGGAGGAGCGUGGGAUACGCUCAGGCUAGAGGGUGGGAGAGGGUGGUGGAAUUCCCGGAGUAGCGGUGAAAUGCGCAGAUACCGGGAGGAACGCCGAUGGCGAAGGCAGCCACCUGGUCCACUUCUGACGCUGAGGCGCGAAAGCGUGGGGAGCAAAC